UGUUCGCACUGGCUAACACACACUGGUGAUGUGCGUAUCUGUACAAGCUCCUCUGGAAGAAGUCUAGCUGCUGCUUGUUAAGCAGCUUCUUUUUUCCUGAUGCUUACUGGAAGGAAGCUGUAUAGUCUAGGAUCCUGGAGCUUAUCUAUUCACUUGCCAUCUCCUAUUAGAAGAGUGAAUCCAGGAUGUCCACUUCUGAAGGACACAGGUCUUUCUAGAAAGGAUAUACAGCUCUCCGUGUUAGUGAAUUUCAAGGACUCUUGCUGUUGGCUGGCAGCACUUCUCACCACCUUUAUCAGUAACAGGUGA
rnacentral:lncRNA from 1 species